GCUAACUCUGUGCCCGGGGCCGCGGUAGUACAGAGGGUGCGAGCGGUAAUCGGAUUUACUGGGCGUAAAGGGCGCGUAGGUGGUUAAUUAAGUCAAAUGUGAAAUCCCCGAGCUUAACUUGGGAAUUGCAUUCGAUACUGGUUAGCUAGAGUAUGGGAGAGGAUGGUAGAAUUCCAGGUGUAGCGGUGAAAUGCGUAGAGAUCUGGAGGAAUACCGAUGGCGAAGGCAGCCAUCUGGCCUAAUACUGACACUGAGGUGCGAAAGCAUGGGGAGCAAACAGGAUUAGAUACCCUGGUAGUC
rnacentral:rRNA from 1 species